rnacentral:rRNA from 1 species
CGAAAGCCUGACGGAGCAACGCCGCGUGAGGGACGAAGGCCUCUGGGCUGUAAACCUCUUUUCUCAAGGAAGAAGACCUGACGGUACUUGAGGAAUAAGCCACGGCUAAUUCCGUGCCAGCAGCCGCGGUAAUACGGGAGUGGCAAGCGUUAUCCGGAAUUAUUGGGCGUAAAGCGUCCGCAGGCGGCCGAUCAAGUCUGCUGUUAAAGCGUGGAGCUUAACUCCAUAAUGGCAGUGGAAACUGAUUGGCUGGAGUGUGGUAGGGGCAGAGGGAAUUCCCGGUGUAGCGGUGAAAUGCGUAGAUAUCGUGAGGAACACUAGUGGCGAAGGCGAGAUGCUGGACAGUAACUGACGCUGAGAGACGAAGGCCAGGGUAGCG